GAARGGUCGAAWGKUCAUWCSYGKUUCCACUGUCSAASUYKGAUGUKUGKAUGACRGAUAACUGUAUCGGCGUCGUCCGCUUCUUACGUUCUUCGUGUCGAUGUCGAACGCGUGCACUUUUCCUCUAGUAGGACGUCGCGAUCCGUUGGGUGUCUGUCUAAGACUCAAGGUGGAGCCCGCGUAAUUUUUAAUUAUGCGGACCCUUGAUGUUCCGACAGACUCGCUCGACGGUAUGCUAAUGGCGCGGGGCCGCUACUUUAGUUAGCGUUCGGCCCGUAGCAAGCACGUUCUGUGUUUGACGGCGAUCGGACCUAGUGCCGAUUCUGUCCCGGAAUGACUGUUGGUUACGGUGUUCUCGAACAGACCUCGUAUGAAACGCCGAUCAGCGACGCUCUAGAUUUGGGUACUUUCAGGACCCGUCUUGAAACACGGACCAAGGAGUCUAGCAUGUGCGCGAGUCAUUGGGAUAUAACUAAACCUAAAGGCGUAAUGAAAGUAAAGGUUUACCUUGCGUAGACCGAGGGAGGAUAAGCGGUUUGCCCUUAAAAGUGGCCGCUUCGCACUCCCAGAGUGUCUCAUUCUCAUUGCGAGAA
rnacentral:rRNA from 1 species